rnacentral:rRNA from 1 species
GACGAACGCUGGCGGCGUGCUUAACACAUGCAAGUCGAACGGAAAGGCCCUGCUUUUGUGGGGUGCUCGAGUGGCGAACGGGUGAGUAACACGUGAGUAACCUGCCCUUGACUUUGGGAUAACUUCAGGAAACUGGGGCUAAUACCGGAUAGGAGCUCCUGCUGCAUGGGGGGGGUUGGAAAGUUUCGGCGGUUGGGGAUGGACUCGCGGCUUAUCAGCUUGUUGGUGGGGUAGUGGCUUACCAAGGCUUUGACGGGUAGCCGGCCUGGGAGGGUGGCCGGCCACAUUGGGCCUGAGAUACGGCCCAGACUCCUACGGGAGGCAGCAGUGGGGAAUAUUGCCCAGUGGGCGGAAGCCUGAUGCAGCAACGCCGCGUGCGGGAUGACGGCCUUCGGGUUGUAAACCGCUUUCGCCUGUGACGAAGCGUGAGUGACGGUAAUGGGUAAAGAAGCACCGGCUAACUACGUG